UACGGAGGGUGCAAGCGUUAUCCGGAUUCACUGGGUUUAAAGGGUGCGUAGGUGGGUAAGUAAGUCCGUGGUGAAAUCUCUGAGCUUAACUCAGAAACUGCCGUGGAUACUAUUUGCCUUGAAUAUUGUGGAGGUGAGCGGAAUAUGUCAUGUAGCGGUGAAAUGCUUAGAUAUGACAUAGAACACCAAUUGCGAAGGCAGCUCACUACACAAUGAUUGACGCUGAGGCACGAAAGCGUGGGGAUCAAACAGG
rnacentral:rRNA from 1 species